rnacentral:lncRNA from 1 species
UGUCUAUAAUGAACUUCAUUGCUGCUUUUUAAAAAUUUUUCCUUUUGAUAAGAAAUUAAAGACUGAUUUCCUCUCUACAAAAGAAAAUGCCACUUUAUUCCCCAUACACACCCUCUCUCUUAGUAAAACAACUCUGAUUUUUAUAGCUGGGCAUCUUGCCACCCAGUUAAAGAUGUAUUCCCUUGCAGCUAAAUAAGGCCAAGUGACUAUGCUCUUGCCAAUAAUAUGUAAACUGAAGUGUAGCAAGGUACUUUUGGGAAGUCUCUUUAAAAAGCAUCAUUUCUUUUGUAUUUGUCCCUUCAUCUUCCUGCUACUCAAGAUGUGCAUAUAAUGGCAGGCACUUCUGUAGGCAUUUUGGAUCAUGAAAUGUCUUUGAUGGAAACUAAGAAAAGUAGAGAAACAGAAUUGAAGGUUUCACAAUUCUAAAACCUUUGUAAAAGUUUUGUAAAAGGUUUUACAAUUGAAGGUAAUUAAUAUUACACUAUUAAUUAUAGUAAAGGUCAUGCUUCUGUGGAAAAAAAAAAGAGUCCCUUGACAUGAUGGUUCAAACAAGUUAGGAAAGGCAGACUGUGCUUCUCAAAAUCAGCCAGAGAAUCAGACUGGCUGAGCACACUGCCAUCCUCAAUGCAUGGCUUCUAGAUUGCUUUAGCCUUUAUCAUUUGAAGCCAAUAGGAAGCAAGGAGAACAUCAAAGCACAUAAUUAAUGACCGAAAGCAUCCAUCACUUCUGCUCAAAUCAUUUUGGGAAUGUCAUAGUCUUCUUGAUCACACUUGAAUGCUGGGGAAGCUAAGCAGUGUAGUACAACUGGACAAUCAGUUCCUGUGUCCAAGAACUUUUUAAAGACAGUAGGGUAGAAUGCUUACUUGUAAUCAAAAAGCAGUCUCCACCAAAACUGUAGGUCUUCAUAUUCUAUCCAGAUGGUAAAAAGUUAACUUUUCUCUUGUUUAGCUUACUACACGCCGGGCCUUUAUUAUUUAUAGUUGAACAUCAUCUUCAUUGAUAUACCCCUUUUAUGUUUUUUCAAUGAACCUCAUCUGUAAAUCAUUAACUGGAUUAUUAGAUAAGUGCUAAAUAAUCCCCAGCUGUAAAAUUCUAAGAAUAAUUAAAACUUCCUUUCUUAACAUUCUUAGUGAACAACUUACAGGUUAAAAAACAAACCCAAAGAGAUUAUUUCCUGCAAAGAGCCUUUAGUAUGGUAGCACCUACUUCUAGAAGGCCUGUCAUAAACUGUCAUCUAGUGAAAGUGAUGAAGAAGAGUGGCUGGGAGUCAAUCUUAUCAGGAGCUGGAACAGGUGAAGCCCUCACCAGUGAAAAAUCUUGACAGAUGCAGCUACUAAGAUUUCCUACUACAAAGAAUAACAGCAGUUAGAAAAGCAGACUCCCUGUGGUGGCGACCAGUAUCUUCAAACUCAUACCAGAGUAAAGCCUUGUCUCCAGCCUGCUAAUCUACCCUUGCAGAUUUUUUGGACUUGCCAGACUCUAAAAUCAUAUCCAUUUGGAGUUCUUUCUGAUGCAUUAUGUGAGAAAAACAAGCAAACAAAUGAACACUUAUUUGUAUUUGAAUUGCACUAAAUUUAUACAUGAAACUGAAAAAAACUGAUAUCUUUAUGAAGCUGCAUAAUCCUAUCCAAGGACAGACGUCUCCUUCCAUUUGCUUUUGCUUUACUAAUUUGAAUCUAUGUUAUUUGUUUUGGAUACAUCUGGAAUUGACUUUUUUGCAUGGUGUAAGAGCCAGCUCUUCUUCAGGAUAAGCAUGCCUGGUUUCUUCAACUUAUUCCACAAGAGUGAACAAGUAAGAAAUAACAGUUCUUCCUGGAUCAGCCCUCUCCCGUCUGUCAUCUCCAACAGAUACAAAGCCAGCUUUAAGAAGACCAAACCUACAAAAAUCAUUCAUGCUUUCUGCCUCCAUGUUUUUCUUUCCAACCUAGUUCCUCCAGAAAAUGUAAAAGAGCAACCGAACCGUCAACUGGUACAAUGACUUCUACACAUCAGACCUCGGCCACGCCACAGUCAUCAGAUUAUUCUAUCACAGGGUCUCUCAACCGUGGAAUAUGGUCUCCAAGGGAAACAAGCCACAGAGGGCUCAGGAGCAUUGCUAUAAAGAGUAGGCAAAUGGAAAUCUUUCCCCAAAGGGCACACUGGGAUUGUUAGGCGAGGGCUGCUCAAUCCAUUAAAAGUUUAAACUCGAAAAAAAAAAAGAAAAAAAAAACCUUUUGAAAAAA